GUGCGCGUCGGCGCCGAGGGCGACGAGGGCGGCUUCCAGCGGUUCGUCAUCCCCAUCGCCUACCUCUACCACCCGCUCUUCCGGCGCCUGCUCGAGGCCGCGCGCGACGCCUACGGCUACGACUACUCGGCGGGGCCGCUGCGCCUGCCGUGCUCCGUUGACGAGUUCCUCCGCCUGCGCGCGCUCGUCGACCGCGAGACGCAGGCCGCGCCCUCCUCGUCGUCGCACCGCGUGCACGCCGGCGGACACGGCCACUACUCCCUGUCCCCGUGCACCCGCGCCAAGGUCAGCUCCUGAGAUGCCUGUGCCUGGUUGCCUGGUCGACUCGAGUUCUGCUGCUUGGCUUCCAUUCAUGCCGUGCGCGCGCGCGCGGCGACCGCGAGGAGUCCAUGUCCAUCGAUCGAGCCGGAGGUGUAGAGAGAGAGGGGGGAGAGGCAGUAGUAGUAGAUUAGUCUUGGGGGGUGCUUCCUCUUUGAUUUCGAG
rnacentral:lncRNA from 1 species